UGGGGAAUAUUGGACAAUGGGCGCAAGCCUGAUCCAGCAAUGCCGCGUGGGUGAAGAAGGUCUUCGGAUUGUAAAGCCCUUUCGACAGGGACGAUGAUGACGGUACCUGUAGAAGAAGCCCCGGCUAACUUCGUGCCAGCAGCCGCGGUAAUACGAAGGGGGCUAGCGUUGCUCGGAAUUACUGGGCGUAAAGGGCGCGUAGGCGGCUUGCUUUAGUCAGACGUGAAAAAUUCCUGGGCUUAACCUGGGGACUGCGUUUGAUACGGGCAGGGCUUGAGGAUGGAAGAGGCUCGUGGAAUUCCCCAGUGUAGAGGUGAAAUUCGUAGAUAUUGGGAAGAACACCGGUGGCGAAGGCGGCGAGCUGGUCCAUUACUGACGCU
rnacentral:rRNA from 1 species